UGAUCCUGGCUCAGGACGAACGCUGGCGGCGUGCCUAAUACAUGCAAGUAGAACGCUGAAGUUUGGUGCUUGCACUAGACGGAUGAGUUGCGAACGGGUGAGUAACGCGUAGGUAACCUGCCUCAUAGCGGGGGAUAACUAUUGGAAACGAUAGCUAAUACCGCAUAACAGUAUUUAUCGCAUGGUAGAUGCUUGAAAGGAGCAAUUGCUUCACUAUGAGAUGGACCUGCGUUGUAUUAGCUAGUUGGUGAGGUAACGGCUCACCAAGGCUUCGAUACAUAGCCGACCUGAGAGGGUGAUCGGCCACACUGGGACUGAGACACGGCCCAGACUCCUACGGGAGGCAGCAGUAGGGAAUCUUCGGCAAUGGGGGCAACCCUGACCGAGCAACGCCGCGUGAGUGAAGAAGGUUUUCGGAUCGUAAAGCUCUGUUGUAAGAGAAGAACUGUGAGAAGAGUGGAAAGUUUCUCGCUUGACGGUAUCUUACCAGAAAGGGACGGCUAACUACGUGCCAGCAGCCGCGGUAAUACGUAGGUCCCGAGCGUUGUCCGGAUUUAUUGGGCGUAAAGCGAGCGCAGGCGGUUUGAUAAGUCUGAAGUAAAAGGCUGUGGCUUAACCAUAGUACGCUUUGGAAACUGUCAAACUUGAGUGCAGAAGGGGAGAGUGGAAUUCCAUGUGUAGCGGUGAAAUGCGUAGAUAUAUGGAGGAACACCGGUGGCGAAAGCGGCUCUCUGGUCUGUAACUGACGCUGAGGCUCGAAAGCGUGGGGAGCGAACAGGAUUAGAUACCCUGGUAGUCCACGCCGUAAACGAUGAGUGCUAGGUGUUGGGUCCUUUCCGGGACUCAGUGCCGCAGCUAACGCAUUAAGCACUCCGCCUGGGGAGUACGACCGCAAGGUUGAAACUCAAAGGAAUUGACGGGGGCCCGCACAAGCGGUGGAGCAUGUGGUUUAAUUCGAAGCAACGCGAAGAACCUUACCAGGUCUUGACAUCCCGAUGACCGCCCUAGAGAUAGGGUUUCUCUUCGGAGCAUCGGUGACAGGUGGUGCAUGGUUGUCGUCAGCUCGUGUCGUGAGAUGUUGGGUUAAGUCCCGCAACGAGCGCAACCCCUAUUGUUAGUUGCCAUCAUUCAGUUGGGCACUCUAGCGAGACUGCCGGUAAUAAACCGGAGGAAGGUGGGGAUGACGUCAAAUCAUCAUGCCCCUUAUGACCUGGGCUACACACGUGCUACAAUGGCUGGUACAACGAGUCGCAAGUCGGUGACGGCAAGCUAAUCUCUUAAAGCCAGUCUCAGUUCGGAUUGUAGGCUGCAACUCGCCUACAUGAAGUCGGAAUCGCUAGUAAUCGCGGAUCAGCACGCCGCGGUGAAUACGUUCCCGGGCCUUGUACACACCGCCCGUCACACCACGAGAGUUUGUAACACCCGAAGUCGGUGAGGUAACCUUUAAGGAGCCAGCCGCCUAAGGUGGGAUAG
rnacentral:rRNA from 1 species